UACCUGGUCUUGGGUAUUUUAUUACAGCAAUAGAAAACAAGGCAACAUGGUGUUGGAAAUGAGGUGCAAAGAAGUUUUUCCAAUAUACAAGCUGGGCAGAAAGGGCUUUGGAAUGGCUUUUGAAAUGGAGAUUCCUAGUCUCUUUGCUAUUAGAGGACUGACCUAGCAGAAGCCUAUUCUUCUUUUCCUUUCUUUUCUUUUUUCUUAUGGCUUGUGUCUAGAUGUCUCCCCAAAGACUUAUGGGCUCAUAGGUGGGGCUUUUCAGAGCUGGCUGGAUCUAGGAUGAUACUGGGAUUAAGGGUGUGGAUAAUUGAAGCCCUACCCUGGGUGUGGAUGGCACCACCCAAAAGGCUGGUAGCCUGAAUGGAAUAAAAGGGAAAAACGAAAGGCUGUGGUGGUGGCUGCUGCUGCUGCUUGCUGCCUUCUGCCUGCCACACCACGAACUUUCUCUCUGUAUGCCCCUCUGUCAUGCUUCCCUGCCUUGGAGCCAGGUGACUAUGGACUGAGACCUUUACAAACUGUGAGCUGAUAUAAACCUUUCCUCCUUUAACUUCAGGGUAUCAGGUAUUUUGUUUCAGUAACAAGAAAAGUAACUGAGACUUUUUUUUAGACAGGGUCACACUCGAUAGUUCAGGCUGGCUUCGAACUUGUUAUGUAGCCCAAAAUGGCCUCACAAUCAUUGCAAUCCUCCUGCCUCAGCCUCCCCAGUGCUGGGAUUACAGAUUCACACCACCAUGACCAGCUGGGAGCUCAUUCUUGAAAGACUCCCAUGCACAGGGCAUCUGGAGAUCCUACAAAGUUGUUUAUUUUUCAUCUGUAGGAAAGGUGGGUGCAGGGUGCAGAGGAACCCAGCCAGGUCACUGUGUACACUGAGGCCAAACCCAACCCAGCGGCCUGUGUCUUUCUCAAGAGAUUUUUCUGCCUGUCAACAGAACUGCAGUUUGCCAUCUAAGAGCCAGGGCUAUCACUGCCAUGCUGCUUCUGGGCAAAAUGGGGUGUAUGUGUAGGUGCUACUGUUCCCAGCCCUGAACUUGGAGCAUGUAUAUCUGACUGGCAAAAAAAGGUAUUAAAAUGUCAAACUUCAUAUAAUUAGGGCAAAGAACUGGCCUUCUCUUGGCCUUUGGAUGCCUGGUUGUCCCUUUGAAAAAUGUCUUUCUUUGCUUGAUCCUGUGGGCAAGGCCCAUCCCACAGGCAGAGAAGGAGCAAAAUUUAGCCUUUGCAUUAAAAAAAUAUAAACAAGGUUUUCAUCUAAAUAGCUGAGCAACUGUAUACAUUAUUUAAACAUCAGAUACAUUAGAUGGAUGGAUUCACCCGGCUCAGUGUAAUACACCUGAGCCUAACACUACAAACCAAUACAUGACAUAAGAACUGCCUGAGCAGAACAGCCAGGUACAGAGAAGUCCUUGGGAGCUGGGAUUUGGCCUGGGUGCCCUUGGCUGCGCUGUGGCCCUGCCCUCAGAACCAGUACUCCGAGACAAAGAUGUGGACGUUGACGACGUUUCGGUGGGAGACCACACCCCCGACCACGUAGUUCAUCUCCAGCUUCAGGACAGCGUGGAAUGGGCCCACGAUGGGCCGCACUUGGCGUACGACACCUGAGAGAGAGCAGAAGGUGUGCUGGGGGUUAGCAGGGACCAGGGCCACAUGGACUGAUUUCUCCCAAGGACCCUCAGG
ensembl:lncRNA